rnacentral:rRNA from 1 species
UUUCUUUUGAUUAUGGAGAAAUAAAAGUAUGAGAAUCAUUUAUACAUGUUAGUGGAAGCAAAUAAAUGAGUAAAAUAGGGUAAUACCUGUUUUGUAUCAGGUUAAAAAGUUUAAUAUAUUUUUACCCUAAGACGCAUAGCUUAAGCCAUGUUUUUACUGAAACAAAGAAAAAUUAACAGCAGUAAAGAAAUUUAUACAAUUAAAGUAAUUUAGAUAUAAGGUAAUCGUUAAUUUUGUCUAAUUAAGUGCCAGCAGACGCGGUGAUACUUAAGAAGUAAACUUUUAUAUAAAAAUAGGUUAAAUGUGUAUAGAACAUAAUUUAUAAAANUAAGAUUAUUGAUUUGGUAAAAUAUACAAUAAUUAAAAAUCUUAUUUAUUUUAUUUAAUAUCUAGAAACUUGAAUAAAUGAUAAUUAAACAGGAUUAGAUACCCUGGUAAUCUUUUUGUUAAUAAUUAAUCUGAACAGUAUACCUAAACAGGUGAAAAUCAAAUAUUUUGGUUGUUUAUUUUUCUAAUUAGAGGAGUAUGUAAUUUAAUUCGAUAAUCCGCGAAAUACCUUACCUUUUUUUGAAAACACAAGUGUUGCAUGGUUGUCUUCAGCUUUAACAUAUAGUUAAAGCAUAAUUCUUAGAUGAAUAAAGUCAAAUAUUAUGGCCUUUAUAAAAAGGGGUAUUAUGUACUACAAUAAAUAUUAUAAUAUAAAUAUAUAUUUGGAUAAUCAAUGUAAUAAUGAUUUAAAAGAGAAUUUAAUAGUAAUUAAAAAUAUAAUGUUUUAAUGAAUAAGUGCAAAUAUUAAUACAAAUAGCCCGUCGCCUUGAUCAUAAAAGAUAGAGUAAGUCGUAACAUAGUGGGGGAAAGGGAACUUUUCCCUGUGAUU